rnacentral:rRNA from 1 species
AACGAACGCUCGCGGCAUGCCUAACACAUGCAAGUCGAACGAGACCUUCGGGUCUAGUGGCGCACGGGUGCGUAACGCGUGGGAACCUGCCCUUAGGUUCGGAAUAACUCCCCGAAAGGGGUGCUAAUACCGGAUAAUGUCUUCGGACCAAAGAUUUAUCGCCUUUGGAUGGGCCCGCGUUGGAUUAGCUAGUUGGUAGGGUAAAAGCCUACCAAGGCGACGAUCCAUAGCUGGUCUGAGAGGAUGAUCAGCCACACUGGGACUGAGACACGGCCCAGACUCCUACGGGAGGCAGCAGUGGGGAAUAUUGGACAAUGGGCGAAAGCCUGAUCCAGCAAUGCCGCGUGAGUGAUGAAGGCCUUAGGGUUGUAAAGCUCUUUUACCCGGGAUGAUAAUGACAGUACCGGGAGAAUAAGCGCCGGCUAACUCCGUG